AGUGGGAGAGCUGGGUCAUAUGGUGGUUCCAUUCCUAGUCUUUAGAGGAAUCUCCAUACUGCUUUCCAAAGUGGUUGUACUAAUUUGCAGUCCCACCAACAAU
rnacentral:pre_miRNA from 1 species